UCCCUGGUGGUGCAGUGGCUAAGACUCUGUGCUCCCAAUGCAGAGGCCUGGGUUCCACUCCCGGUCAAGGAA
rnacentral:tRNA from 1 species